AUUGAAUUGAAAGCCCCUAACUGGGCAUAAGAGAAAAUACAAAUUCAUCAUGCAGAAGUGGAUUACAAUAAAAAGAAGCUUCAUGAAGAGUUAUUACUAUCUCUUUUGACAAAAACAAAGGAUUUCUGGUCAAAGGUGGCAACUGUUUUGCCAAAGAGUUCUUCGGCUAUUCCAGUCAGAUGGUCUAAAGAAAAGAACUCCUCAGGGCCCAGAGAUGUUCUCGCAGGUUUCGGAGGUGGGCUCUCGGCUUCAAAAGCCUUUUUCCCUUCAGUCCAUGAAGAAGGCAGUGGUUGUUUAAAACCUGGUGGGAUGGAGGAGUGAAAGGCCUUUGGUGUGCAGGAUUGCGAAACUUUUCGAAGAAAUCUCCGGCGUUGAUAUGAUCUAUACCAACAGAAGAAAUAUAUUGUUGGAAAAGAGCUGUGAUUUGUUCUGGGGUGAAGAGAUCUGGCUUACUGAUGUUUUGGGGCUCAAUGGAUGGUUUGGGUCUCGAGGUUUCUUCAAAAAGACAAGAGACAGACGAGGGACCAGCUUCGUUGUGUAAGUUUCCUCAUUGUUGCUUGGGUUAGGUAGAGGUUGGUUUUCGGAGUUGUUUUCGGUAAGUUGGUAGCAACGAUGGUAUCCGGUAGGGCUAGCUGGGACUCUGGGCAAGCCGUUUGUGGUGGAGGGAGAGGAGUUGUGUCUCUCUGAGUGGGAGGAUUUGGAAAAACAGGGUUCAUUUGGUUCUCUUUGGUAUUGCGAUGAACUGGAUUAGUUUUCAUCCAUGGGCCAAAGCCAGUGUUGAGGUUGUGGUUAUCUGAACUGGAUGGUUGAGUUUCAGUUGUACAUACCUUACUGAGAUGCCCCAUGAUUCCACAGCUGAAACAGAUGUCUGGCAUCUUCUCAUAUUUGAGUUGAAUCCACUGCAAGGAUCCAUCAUGCAUUUGGGUAUAAAAUCCAGAAGAGAAGGGUUUAUCAACUGCCAAGAGUGUUCUGAUUCGAAGGAUAACCGGGAAUCCAAUUAGACCAUCUCGAGUGAGGUCUGCCUCAAUAAAUUGCCCAAUACGGUUGCCAACGGCUUUGGCAUUCGGAAGGUUGAUUUGUGUGGGAGGGAGGCCAUGUGCCUGAACCCAAAAGGGAGAAUGGGUAAAAUGCAGGUCAUUGAAGGCCAUGUCUGGUGGCCACUCUGGAAGACAGAGAUGCUGAUUAUGCACUGACCUGGGCCGAUUUCAAACACGAAUUUUGCAUCCACCUCGUGUUCAAAGGAGAAAGUGAAAAUGUUGUUUUGCUUAGUGGAAACUUGGAAAGGCCUUCUGGUGGACCAGGACUUAGUCAAUGCAGCUUUCACAGUAUUUGCACUGAAACUUCUUGAGGAGAUAGUUUUACCCACUAAGAUUUUUAAUUACUUCAAUUUAAUUGGAUAGGAUUGCCUAUCAUUUCUAGUGUCACACAAUUAACAAUUGAAUCAGAAGAACAUUUUGUCUUAUUUUUUGAACAGAAAUGAAUAGCAUUUCACAUUUGGAUUUGAAAAUUGGGAUACAAAGAGUGCCUUUUUUUUCUGUGUCACUAAUUGCACAAUUUCUGUAACAUGGGAGUCAAAUGUGCAUGGAAAGCUCAUGCUAAUCUGGAUCAUCCUUUCUAUAUUACAUGCUUGGGUGUCUGAUCUCUCUCAAUUAUCUUCCAUGGUCAUAAGAGUUGGUAUCUGUCCAUGGUCCACAAAAUCAAUCUUGCUCAGUCUCAGACAGCAUAACACUUGCUCUGGAAGCUCCUCUUGUUUUUGUGCCUGAAUGGUUAAACCAAGGUCAACAAUUCCAUUUUUAAGACGAUCUCUAAAUGAUUCAAGUCCCUUCCUAGAUAUGUAGCUGAAGCGAUGAAUAUCAAGAUCAAUCUCAAAAUAAUUGGGGCCCUUAUAAAAUUCAUGCUGGGGACGAGAAAGGACUGGUUUUUCAUUAUAAGCAUUUACAAGCUUCUUUUCAGCAGAGCUUAAAUUGAGAUCCUCAGGAUUCACCAAACCAGCCAUUAUCUUUAGUCUUUCUCUAAACGGUAUGCUUGAUUCUUUUGCAAAUCCUUUAACUUUUUCCAUCUCAUCAUCUAUCAGUCUCUAUUGAUUAGAAGAGAUAGUGAACAAACCUGUACAUAAUAUAAAGCAAAAUAUAUGCUGCCAGAGCAAAUAGAGAAAAGGACAAUUCAAUUCAAAUUUACCUUGAUAUUAUCCUGACAUUGAGAAGAAAUUUCCUUCUCCCAGUUUUCAGAAACCUUAAAAUACAGUACGAGACUCAAUCCUUCCCCAUCACUAUCACCAAGAAACAUUGCAGCAGGAUAAGUCGGCAACUGGAUAUUUACAAUUAGAAGAGAAGGGAUUUUUCCUUCAACUUUUACAUGAGGGAGCUCAAGGUGUAGUGCAAUGUGAUUAACCUUUCUAGGGCAGAUAAACAUAUCAACACCAAUUGGAGUAUAUGGACUGCAAUUUGAAGCAGGGCACUUCCUCUUAUCUUUGAAAUAGGUCUCGCCACGAAGUUUGAAAUUUGAGGGAGGAAUCUCACACCAACAUCCCAUAGUUGACUUCUCUCCCAUGCUACAUGGAAUAACAAACCCUGCUUUCGGACAAUACAAGAAUCUUUUUGAAGCACAGUGCUCACUCAUUUCAUCUCCAUCACAUGAUUUCCUCUUAAAGGAAAGCUUGAAAACACCUAAUUUCUUUUGUUGAGCUGACGCAUUUAAAACCUUAUCAUUGAAACUAACAGAAGGAAACAACCGAGGUAAGCCAGAUUUUAUGGUAUUCUCUUGUGAGUGUCUAACAUCUUUUGAACUUUUAAAGCUUCCAUAAGUAUCCAACAAUUUCUUCAUUCUGUUUUCCUCAGUCUUCCCUGAUAGCGAAAUUUCAUAACCCUGGGUACCAAUAAGAGCAAACCCCUUUGAGUCAUUGUGUUCAUCUCUGCUUAUCCCUUGUCCAUCUAUUUUCACAAAACUUUCAUGGUAUUCUUCAUAUUUACCCUGGCCAUCCAUAAAACAUGAAGAACUUUCAUACUGAAGCACUUGUCCACACGAAAUAUUCCCAACUGCAGAGCCCACUGAUGAAAAUCGAUCUCCAAGCAUGCUGCUGAAUUCAUCAUCAGAUUCAGAUUCCAGAAUACUGACUGAAUCAAACCAAGCUUCCUCUUGGCAAACUCCAUCAAUGCCUACUUGACUGAGGUGCCAUUGCAUCUGCUUGAGGUGGUAAGUUGAAUUGGAGGCCGCAGAUCUUCUCGAACUAGUUUUACCAUUCUCAAAAUCCAUAUGGACAAAUUGACUCACAGCAAAAUCUGUCACACAUCCUGUAUCGCUACUUAUUAUCUUGUUCGCAUCAUGAGAACUAGACAUCUUCACAUGGUGUUUGCCAAAUCGCCGAAGGUGUUUCUUGUGUGUUUUGACUCUUUUUGGUGGAGUGGAAGUGGACACACAGCCACCCAUUAUGACUACUUGAUUAUAUAAACCUGUCAACAAGGAAAUAUCAUCUUUAUAAAAUAUGCUACCCACAGAAGACCUCGGAAGAUGCAAAGUGAAUCGGGUACGACAACCAAUUCUGCCAGUUCUUAAAAUACUCUAAAUGACUGUUUAGCUAAAAUGAUAUAUGUCACAAGCAGGAGUAAGAUGUAAAGAUAGAGCCAGAUCUAUCUAUUGGCAUGAGCCAGAGCCCAGAGUGGCUUCACAAAAAUUCAACUAAAUGUUUGAAAAGAUGUUUCAGUGCCAUUCGGCUUAGCUUCUGCAGCUAUAAUUAUCACCUCCAGGAAAUGAAUGAAAUUUGCUUCUCUGCAAAGAAAUGAAACAAAUGAAUCCUACGAAUGGAAGACUACUUAUAUUGAUUAUGUUGACAAAACUUAGGAAAUUUGCUUCUCAGCUAAGAGAAAAAAGAUCAGAACUGAAAAUUGGUUAAAUAACAAUGAUCAUAUCAGUGGAAGAGUAAUUAUGUGAAAAUUGGCCAUAUGACAAUAUAUGCAAUCAUCCAAUUUCAAACCAAGGGAUAAAAAUAAUAGAAUAUCGACCAAUACUUAAAUUUAGAAUAUAAUAUAUUAUAAAGUAAUAAAUUUUCAAGAAAUUGAACCCACCAAUUUCCAUUUGCAUUACAAUAUCAGAAGUAAGAAAUUUCAUACCGUGGUCAACAGUCUUACAACGAUCUAUGAAAUCUAGAGAACUUGAAAACACAGCAAAGGUAAAAAUAAAAUAAAAUCUGGGAGAAAAAAUAUCAUGACCUUGUCCAAAAAAGGUUCAAAACUAAUGAAGGAGAGAGAUCCUUUGCUCACUGCCAAAGAAACACCUGAAGAAGAUAAAAGGAAAUGGCUAACUGAAGGAUCCCUCUCUCAGUAAAUAAACAAGGACAAAAGAAACAGAAAGAGGGAGAGAUAUUAGAAGAAGAGAGGCUGUAACGGAUGGAUGAAUGAGUGGGUCCGACGAUGCCGGAUCUGGGGACAAUAGCCAAAGAAAAACAACACUCUGAGUUGCCUUUUUUCAUGGUUUGUGUAAAAAACUUGGAGCUUUUAUAGGUCGUUUUCUUUCCAAUAUGCAUUUAAAGAAAAGAAAACAUUUUUUCCUUCAAACAAAAAAUACACAAAAGAGCUCAAGUCUCCCCUUCUCCUUCGAUUGUAUCUUUUACCCUUCAUUUAGCUUUCUUCUUUUCCUGAAUUUCGCGGGUGCCUUAAGACAAAGA
rnacentral:misc_RNA from 1 species